CUGCUCUGUCUCCUGGCUUUCCUGCUGACCUCCCUGUGGCAGUUCCAUGUCUCCAGCCUGGGGACAGUGGCCAUGCUUGCACCCCCCCGUGGCAGCCAGUUCUGUGGCAGCAGCAAGUGGAGAGGUACUGGCAGCAGCAGAGUCACCAGAGGUUUUCCUGCAGGGAGCUUGGUUGGCCCAGGACAGCAUGAAACAGAGCCACGAACAUCUGGAAGGCAGAACCCAAUGGGCCUGGAUUUUUCUGGCUGCUGAGGCAAUGGCGACCCCCAGAUUUGGCUCCCGAGGUGUUUCUGUUCCCAGCGCUGGCUCAGCAGCAAUGCCCCAAGCACGCCGUGGCAGGCCCCAAUCUCACGGCACGUUCACGCAUGUGCUUGCUCUUAAACGAGCAACUGCUGCUCUCCAAAGCCUGUGCAUGGCAUUAACUGUGCUGCGCUGAGCCCUUUAUGCUCGAUAAACACCUUUGGGAAAUGCGUGCUUUCCAAAUGCCUGCUUGUCUGGAGUUGGGUUUUCUUCGGAGGAAAAAAUGAGCAUACUACUGCCUUUUCUUCCCAGUGGGCAGGGGACAGUUUUUGCCUGGUUUGAGGUGCCUGCAGAUGUUUAUUGCUGUGUUAAUGUGAAGUCUGGCAUGCUUCAUGAUGGCUGCUGGCACAGAAAAUCCCUCCCUGCCCUGGGGCUGCGUGCUUGAGCUCUGCUCUUGGGACCCUGCUCUGCACCAGCCCCGCAUCGUGCUCGGUCACCGGCCGCCUGGCACCAUGCGAGGGACCUGCCAAAUCCUUUGCUUGUGGCCGUGGUUAUGAAAUGCCAUGGAGCUCCUGCAGAAGGAGCACGGCAGAGCCCUGCGGACGGCUGGCAGUGAUGGGGGAUGAGGAAGGACAGCUGCAGACACACUGCAGGCACCAGCGUUGCAGUGUGCGGCUUG
rnacentral:lncRNA from 1 species